UACAGAGGGGGCAAGCGUUAUCCGGAAUUAUUGGGCGUAAAGGGCGCGUAGGCGGCUUGGCAAGUGGAAGGUGAAAUCCCUCGGCUUAACCGAGGAACUGCCCUCCAAACUGCUUGGCUUGAGUCCGGGAGAGGUGAGUGGAAUUCCCAGUGUAGCGGUGAAAUGCGUAGAUAUUGGGAGGAACACCAGUGGCGAAGGCGGCUCACUGGACCGGAACUGACGCUGAGGCGCGAAAGCGUGGGGAGCAAACGGG
rnacentral:rRNA from 1 species